rnacentral:rRNA from 1 species
UUAAGCGACUAAGCGUACACGGUGGAUGCCCUGGCAGUCAGAGGCGAUGAAGGACGUGCUAAUCUGCGAUAAGCGUCGGUAAGGUGAUAUGAACCGUUAUAACCGGCGAUUUCCGAAUGGGGAAACCCAGUGUGAUUCGUCACACUAUCAUUAACUGAAUCCAUAGGUUAAUGAGGCGAACCGGGGGAACUGAAACAUCUAAGUACCCCGAGGAAAAGAAAUCAACCGAGAUUCCCCCAGUAGCGGCGAGCGAACGGGGAGCAGCCCAGAGCCUGAAUCAGUGUGUGUGUUAGUGGAAGCGUCUGGAAAGGCGUGCGAUACAGGGUGACAGCCCCGUACACAAAAAUGCACAUACUGUGAGCUCGAUGAGUAGGGCGGGACACGUGGUAUCCUGUCUGAAUAUGGGGGGACCAUCCUCCAAGGCUAAAUACUCCUGACUGACCGAUAGUGAACCAGUACCGUGAGGGAAAGGCGAAAAGAACCCCGGCGAGGGGAGUGAAAAAGAACCUGAAACCGUGUACGUACAAGCAGUGGGAGCACGCUUAGGCGUGUGACUGCGUACCUUUUGUAUAAUGGGUCAGCGACUUAUAUUCUGUAGCAAGGUUAACCGAAUAGGGGAGCCGAAGGGAAACCGAGUCUUAACUGGGCGUUAAGUUGCAGGGUAUAGACCCGAAACCCGGUGAUCUAGCCAUGGGCAGGUUGAAGGUUGGGUAACACUAACUGGAGGACCGAACCGACUAAUGUUGAAAAAUUAGCGGAUGACUUGUGGCUGGGGGUGAAAGGCCAAUCAAACCGGGAGAUAGCUGGUUCUCCCCGAAAGCUAUUUAGGUAGCGCCUCGUGAAUUCAUCUCCGGGGGUAGAGCACUGUUUCGGCAAGGGGGUCAUCCCGACUUACCAACCCGAUGCAAACUGCGAAUACCGGAGAAUGUUAUCACGGGAGACACACGGCGGGUGCUAACGUCCGUCGUGAAGAGGGAAACAACCCAGACCGCCAGCUAAGGUCCCAAAGUCAUGGUUAAGUGGGAAACGAUGUGGGAAGGCCCAGACAGCCAGGAUGUUGGCUUAGAAGCAGCCAUCAUUUAAAGAAAGCGUAAUAGCUCACUGGUCGAGUCGGCCUGCGCGGAAGAUGUAACGGGGCUAAACCAUGCACCGAAGCUGCGGCAGCGACACUAUGUGUUGUUGGGUAGGGGAGCGUUCUGUAAGCCUGCGAAGGUGUGCUGUGAGGUAUGCUGGAGGUAUCAGAAGUGCGAAUGCUGACAUAAGUAACGAUAAAGCGGGUGAAAAGCCCGCUCGCCGGAAGACCAAGGGUUCCUGUCCAACGUUAAUCGGGGCAGGGUGAGUCGACCCCUAAGGCGAGGCCGAAAGGCGUAGUCGAUGGGAAACAGGUUAAUAUUCCUGUACUUGGUGUUACUGCGAAGGGGGGACGGAGAAGGCUAUGUUGGCCGGGCGACGGUUGUCCCGGUUUAAGCGUGUAGGCUGGUUUUCCAGGCAAAUCCGGAAAAUCAAGGCUGAGGCGUGAUGACGAGGCACUACGGUGCUGAAGCAACAAAUGCCCUGCUUCCAGGAAAAGCCUCUAAGCAUCAGGUAACAUCAAAUCGUACCCCAAACCGACACAGGUGGUCAGGUAGAGAAUACCAAGGCGCUUGAGAGAACUCGGGUGAAGGAACUAGGCAAAAUGGUGCCGUAACUUCGGGAGAAGGCACGCUGAUAUGUAGGUGAAGUCCCUCGCGGAUGGAGCUGAAAUCAGUCGAAGAUACCAGCUGGCUGCAACUGUUUAUUAAAAACACAGCACUGUGCAAACACGAAAGUGGACGUAUACGGUGUGACGCCUGCCCGGUGCCGGAAGGUUAAUUGAUGGGGUCAGCGCAAGCGAAGCUCUUGAUCGAAGCCCCGGUAAACGGCGGCCGUAACUAUAACGGUCCUAAGGUAGCGAAAUUCCUUGUCGGGUAAGUUCCGACCUGCACGAAUGGCGUAAUGAUGGCCAGGCUGUCUCCACCCGAGACUCAGUGAAAUUGAACUCGCUGUGAAGAUGCAGUGUACCCGCGGCAAGACGGAAAGACCCCGUGAACCUUUACUAUAGCUUGACACUGAACAUUGAGCCUUGAUGUGUAGGAUAGGUGGGAGGCUU